UUUGAGGUGGGGAUCCUUCAGUUGGCUGAGCAGGGCAGGCUGCUCAGAGGUCCUGGGGCUGGGCUUUGCUGAGCUUGAGACAGUGAGCUCUGGGGCUCUAUGCCCCACAGUGGUGUGGGGUAGCAGAAAGGGAGCCUGGAGUUUCUGGAAAUGGAUUUCCAGCCUUACCUCAUCUUUCUGCAGGUGACUGAGCUCAGUGGCCAGGUGCACGGGCAGUGGCUCCAAGUCAGUAGCUGCAGCAAAGGGCCAUCCCACCCCAGGUGCCCAGGUCAGGGCAGGACCCACCUGCAAGUGACCAGCAGCUCCUCAUGCCUACAGCUCAGAUCUGCCAGACGCUUGCGGUAGACCCGAGCAGCCCGUGCCAGCUGUUGCUCACGGCUACGGUGCGCUGCCCGGAUGUUCUCCAGAGUGGUGUCCAGAAAUGUCUGAAGGGCUGCUUGGCCUGCACCAUCGGCAUAUUUCUGGAGGAGGCGAGGUGUGCUGGAGCUGUUCCCAGCCUCCCAGCAGCUGUGAGGUGCACAAGGGCUGGAUGCAAGAGACCCCAGCUCCAAGAUCCCUGUAUGGCCCCCAUCAUCACCCAAGGUUGGGAGAACCCCAGGCAGGACCCCAAGGUAGGUAGCUGCCUGCUCAUGUUGCAUCUGGCUUCAAUUGCUCAGGCUCAGGGGUCAGCAUGCCUUUGAACUAGAGGGCAGGGACCGCUGAGGAGUGAGCACACAGGUUCCACCUCACUGUGCCCUAUGGAGGCUCCUACCCACCCAGCCAGCCCA